UACAGAGGUCUCAAGCGUUGUUCGGAUUCAUUGGGCGUAAAGGGUGCGUAGGCGGCGCGGUAAGUCGGUUGUGAAAUCUCGGGGCUUAACUCCGAAACUGCAUUCGAUACUGCCGUGCUUGAGGACUGGAGAGGAGACUGGAAUUUACGGUGUAGCGGUGAAAUGCGUAGAUAUCGUAAGGAAGACCAGUGGCGAAGGCGGGUCUCUGGACAGUUCCUGACGCUGAGGCACGAAGGCCAGGGGAGCAAACGGG
rnacentral:rRNA from 1 species